rnacentral:rRNA from 1 species
AGGAUGAACGCUGGCGGUCUGCUUAACACAUGCAAGUCGAACGGAGUACCUCGGUACUUAGUGGCGGACGGGUGAGUAACGCGUGAGAAUCUGCCCUUAGGUCGGGGACAACCAUUGGAAACGAUGGCUAAUACCGGAUAAGCCGAGAGGUAAAAGAUUAAUUGCCUAGGGAAGAGCUCGCGUCUGAUUAGCUAGUUGGUGAGGUAAAGGCUCACCAAGGCAUCGAUCAGUAGCUGGUCUGAGAGGAUGAUCAGCCACACUGGGACUGAGACACGGCCCAGACUCCUACGGGAGGCAGCAGUGGGGAAUUUUCCGCAAUGGGCGAAAGCCUGACGGAGCAAGACCGCGUGAGGGGGGAAGGCUCUUGGGUUGUAAACCUCUUUUCUUGGGGAAGAACAAAUGACGGUACCCAAGGAAUCAGCAUCGGCUAACUCCGUGCCAGCAGCCGC